rnacentral:rRNA from 1 species
AUUGAACGCUGGCGGCAGGCCUAACACAUGCAAGUCGAGCGGAGCGGCGAACGGGUGAGUAAUGUAUCGGAACGUGCCCAGUAGCGGGGGAUAACUACGCGAAAGCGUAGCUAAUCCCGCAUACUAUUGGAGCGGCCCAUAUCGGAAGAGCUAGUUGGUGGGGUAACGGCGCACCAAGGCGACGAUCCGUAGCGGGUUUUAGAGGACGACCAGCCACACUGGGACUGAGACACGGCCCAGACUCCGAGGGGAGGCAGCAGUGGGGAAUUUUGGACAAUGGGGGAAACCCUGAUCCAGCCAUCCCGCGUGUGCGAUGAAGGCCUUCGGGUUGUAAAGCACUUUUGGCAGGAAAGCGGUACCUGCAGAAUAAGCACCGGCUAACUACGUGCCAGCAGCCGCGGUAAUAC